UACAUGCAGUCGAGCGAUGAAGCUUCUAGCUUGCUAGAAGUGGAUUAGUGGCGCACGGGUGAGUAAGGUAUAGUUAAUCUGCCCUACACAAGAGGACAACAGUUGGAAACGACUGCUAAUACUCUAUACUCCUGCUUAACACAAGUUGAGUAGGGAAAGUUUUUCGGUGUAGGAUGAGACUAUAUAGUAUCAGCUAGUUGGUAAGGUAAUGGCUUACCAAGGCUAUGACGCUUAACUGGUCUGAGAGGAUGAUCAGUCACACUGGAACUGAGACACGGUCCAGACUCCUACGGGAGGCAGCAGUAGGGAAUAUUGCGCAAUGGGGGAAACCCUGACGCAGCAACGCCGCGUGGAGGAUGACACUUUUCGGAGCGUAAACUCCUUUUCUUAGGGAAGAAUUCUGACGGUACCUAAGGAAUAAGCACCGGCUAACUCCGUGCCAGCAGCCGCGGUAAUACGGAGGGUGCAAGCGUUACUCGGAAUCACUGGGCGUAAAGGGCGCGUAGGCGGAUUAUCAAGUCUCUUGUGAAAUCUAAUGGCUUAACCAUUAAACUGCUUGGGAAACUGAUAGUCUAGAGUGAGGGAGAGGCAGAUGGAAUUGGUGGUGUAGGGGUAAAA
rnacentral:rRNA from 1 species